UAGGGAAUCUUCCACAAUGGACGAAAGUCUGAUGGAGCAACGCCGCGUGAGUGAAGAAGGGUUUCGGCUCGUAAAACUCUGUUGUUAAAGAAGAACAUAUCUGAGAGUAACUGUUCAGGUAUUGACGGUAUUUAACCAGAAAGCCACGGCUAACUACGUGCCAGCAGCCGCGGUAAUACGUAGGUGGCAGGCGUUGUCCGGAUUUAUUGGGCGUAAAGCGAGCGCAGGCGGUUUUUUAAGUCUGAUGUGAAAGCCUUCGGCUCAACCGAAGAAGUGCAUCGGAAACUGGGAAACUUGAGUGCAGAAGAGGACAGUGGAACUCCAUGUGUAGCGGUGAAAUGCGUAGAUAUAUGGAAGAACACCAGUGGCGAAGGCGGCUGUCUGGUCUGUAACUGACGCUGAGGCUCGAAAGUAUGGGUAGCAAACAGG
rnacentral:rRNA from 1 species